rnacentral:rRNA from 1 species
UGGGGAAUAUUGGACAAUGGGCGCAAGCCUGAUCCAGCAAUGCCGCGUGAGUGACGAAGGCCUUAGGGUUGUAAAGCUCUUUCGCACGCGACGAUGAUGACGGUAGCGUGAGAAGAAGCCCCGGCUAACUUCGUGCCAGCAGCCGCGGUAAUACGAAGGGGGCUAGCGUUGUUCGGAAUUACUGGGCGUAAAGGGCGCGUAGGCGGCCUGUUUAGUCAGAAGUGAAAGCCCCGGGCUCAACCUGGGAAUAGCUUUUGAUACUGGCAGGCUUGAGUUCCGGAGAGGAUGGUGGAAUUCCCAGUGUAGAGGUGAAAUUCGUAGAUAUUGGGAAGAACACCGGUAGCGAAGGCGGCCAUCUGGACGGACACUGACGCUGAGGCGCGAAAGCGUGGGGAGCAAACAGAUUAGAUACCCUGGUAGUCCACGCCGUAAACGAUGAAUGCUAGACGUCGGGGUGCAUGCACUUCGGUGUCGCCGCUAACGCAUUAAGCAUUCCGCCUGGGGAGUACGGCCGCAAGGUUAAAACUCAAAGGAAUUGACGGGGUCAUAGCUGUUUCCU